rnacentral:lncRNA from 1 species
GCAAAGAAACAAGAGAUUUGAACACAAAAGAAGAAAAGUGCGUGUUUUGGGCCUGGUUGGUUUGAUGUUUUUGCUUGGAUUCACAUGGGUCUUUGCAUUCUUCGCUGUUAGCAGAGCGACAAAAGUGUUUGAUUAUCUUUUUUCUAUAUUCAAUACCCUUCAAGGAAUGUUUAUCUUCACAUUCUAUUGUCUAUACAAGAAAGAUACCAGAGAUAUCAUCAAAGAGUCCGUGAAUAAACGAAAGAGAGCGAAUCCCAGGAGAGUUGUCGCCGGCAGAAGUAAGUGCGAUUUGUGUUGGUUUCUUUUUUAUUCAUUGCACCGUGAGAACCAUCGCCAAUAUUGUAGUGAUAGUGAUAAUCACAAACACCAUUUCUAACAACGCAGUCACUUUUAGGAUAGACAUCAUCAAAAUAUCAACACUGCUGUUGUCGUCGCAAUCAUCGUCGUCAUCAUCAUCAUCAUAAUCACUACCUUCAUCAUCAUCGUCGGUGUCGUCUUCGUUGUCGACGUCGUCCAGAUGGGUGGAACACAUACGCCACAGAAACCGGGAAACGGGACCCAUGAGCCUGGGUAGGCUUGAAAAGGGCGACGUUUAUCGUUUAUAUAUAUAUAUAUUUAUAUAUAUAUAUAUAUAUAUAUAUAUAUAUAUAUAUAUAUAUAUAUAUAUAUUAGAACGUUUGGAGAUGAUGUACAGGUAUUUUAUAUUAGAAGAAAUGAGGUACUCAGAAAUUCGGAUGGAUUUAUAUUUACAGAUAUUUAUUUGUAUAUUACAUGUUUUUAUACAUCAUAUAACUUAUAUCAUAUAUCAUAUAUUAGCGCUUUUGUCUAUUGUGGUGGAGGUUAGUUUUCAAAUUGAUACUAUAUAUAUAUAUAUAUAUAUAUAUAUAUAUAUAUAUAUAUAUAUAUAUAUAUAUAUAUAUAUAAUAAAGCUUAUUUGUCAACAGAAUGUGGCAGUCCUACACUGGAACGUGUUACUGUUGUUGAGCUCCAGAGAAACAUCCUUUCCUGCUGCCUACCAGAUGUAUUUCUCGUUACGGGAUCAGCGAUUAUGUCGAUUUAAAAAGUACAUAGAAUGAGCAGUUUGAGUAAGCUCCCAUCACUGACCUGUGAUUAUCUCACACCGAAUACGGGAAACAACCCCGAAACAUAGGUCUGUGGGUAUCAUAAAGGCUAGAAAUGGGGACGAUGAACUCCGUUGCUCAUGCUAUCCUAGACGAACACAAACUGUAUGUCGGUGGCCUGCUGGAAAAAGCGUUUCCCUGAGGCUAAACAACAGUAAGAUCAUCCUAUGUAGGACUGUCACAUUCUGUUCACAAAUUAAACUUACUGUUCGAUACCGUUACAUAUCUCUCGCUCAAAGAUCUAAAACUAGUUGAUUUUCUCUCAUAUAUAUAAAUAUAUAUAUAUAUUAAAAUAUAUAUAUAUAAAUAUAUAUAUAUAUAUAUAUAUAUAUAUAUAUAUAUAUAUAUAUAUAUAUAUAUAUAUAUAUAUAUAAUAUACAUAUAUAUAUAUAUAUAUAUAUAUAUAUAUAUAUAUAUAUAUAUAUAUAUAUAUAUAUAUAUAUGUAUAUAUAUAUGUAUAUAUAUAUAUAUAUAUAUAUAUAUAUAUAUAUAUAUAUAUAUAUAUAUAUAUAUAUAUAUAUAUAUAUAUAUAUAUAUAAAGUAUACAAGCCAUGAAUUAACAAGUUUAAAAUUAAUAUUUUAUAUCGUUUUCUCGUGUUUCCAGGAUUUGGUAAUGAAAUCGAGGAUAGAAGAGCAGAAACAAAUUUCUAAGUGAAAAUUGAAAAAGUGCCUUCAAAAAUCGCUUCGAUAAUAUUUUACGUCAUAAAAUAAUAUU